ACUGAAACACAAAGGGGAAGACGAAAGGUAGCCUGGGAAGGAUACAGAGAAAUUGUCUGAGCAGCCAGCAAUCAGGUUAGGAAAGCCAAAGCCCAUUUAGAAUUAAAUUUGUCCAGGGAUAUCAAGGGCAGUAAAAAA